rnacentral:rRNA from 1 species
UUUUUUUCCGUAACAUUCUAGCUGCUAGARAUGACGACCGCGGACGGUGAGUAUACUUAGRAUCUACCUAGUAGUGGGGAUAGCUCGGGAAACUCGAAUAAUACCGCAUACGACUACGGAGAAAGGGGCAGUUUACUSUCUCGCUAUUAGAUGAGCCUAAGUCGGAUUAGCUAGAUGGUGGGGUAAAGGCCUACCAUGGCGACGAUCUGUAGCUGGUCUGAGAGGAUGAUCAGCCACACCGGGACUGAGACACGGCCCGGACUCUACGGGAGGCAGCAGUGGGGAAUAUUGGACAAUGGGGGAAACCCUGAUCCAGCCAUGCCGCGUGUGUGAAGAAGGCCUUUUGGUUGUAAAGCACUUUAAGCAGUGAAGAAGACUCCGUGGUUAAUACCCACGGACGAUGACAUUWGCUGCAGAAUAAGCACCGGCUAACUCUGUGCCAGCAGCCGCGGUAAUACAGAGGGUGCAAGCGUUAAUCGGAAUUACUGGGCGUAAAGGGAGCGUAGGUGGCUCGAUAAGUCAGAUGUGAAAUCCCCGGGCUCAACCUGGGAACUGCAUCUGAUACUGUUGAGCUAGAGUAUGUGAGAGGAAGGUAGAAUUCCAGGUGUAGCGGUGAAAUGCGUAGAGAUCUGGAGGAAUACCGAUGGCGAAGGCAGCCUUCUGGCAUAAUACUGACACUGAGGCUCGAAAGCGUGGGUAGCAAACAGGAUUAGAUACCCUGGUAGUCCACGCCGUAAACGAUGUCUACUAGUCGUUGGGUCCCUUGAGGACUUAGUGACGCU